GACGUAGGAGGCGAGCGUUUAUCCGGAUUCACUGGGCGUAAAGCGCAUGUAGGCGGUUGGAUAAGUCCGUUGUUAAAGCCCCUGGCUCAACUGGGGGGAGGUCAAUGGAGACUAUUCGACUUGAGGGCAACAGAGGCACAUGGAACUCCCGGUGUAGCGGUGGAAUGCGUAGAGAUCGGGAAGAACACCCGUGGCGAAGGCGGUGUGCUGGGUUGCAACGUGAC
rnacentral:rRNA from 1 species